AGGGGAGUGGAGCAUGAGAAAAGUAACACUAUUGCAAGAUAACUACAUCAGACAAGAUCUUCAAACAGGGAGGAACUUUCUCCUGGAAAGAAUUUGGGCUGUCUACUUUGAGAGUUCUCGCAGACAAAGCUUCACAAGCCCCUUCAGAUCUUCCGUCAUGGACAACUUGCACUCCUCUCCCAUUGGUUACUUCAGAUGUCCA